UUGAUUAGUCUCAAACCCCAA
rnacentral:piRNA from 1 species